GCCAGCGGACGAAAUUGGGGAGCAAUUUCAGAGUAACUCUGGACCCAUUGUUCCUGAGAGUUUUGAGGAGCAGAUGAUGCUGGCCAUGGCUGUUUCUCUUGCUGAGGCUCAAGCUAUGACAGGUGGACCAGGAAGUGCGUGGCAAUAGUUUCGAAGUGCGUGGCAACUGUUUUCAAGAGCAGGUUACCAAUUCCAAACAAAUGAUGCCACUUACGGCUUUUCAGCUAGCUGAGUAUUGAGCUAGGAUGAGCGCACAAUGUGCUACAUGCAAGUGGCUAAGAGAUCGAGGUAGUGAUUACUCUUUCCUUUGCACUCUCUAUCUCUCUAUAUACUUGUUGAAGGAAAAUGGAUUGUCUCAGUGGAUGAAAGGUUGUUUGCUCAUGACAUUCAUAUUGAGACAGAUUCUUUCUUUUCAUAGUUCUAUAUAAUUUUUUUAGAAUGUUCAGAACUCUU
rnacentral:misc_RNA from 1 species